GCCCAGGUGGUGAAAUUGGUAGACACGCACGAUUCAGGGUCGUGUGCGAAAGCAUGCUGGUUCAAGUCCAGUCCUGGGCA
rnacentral:tRNA from 1 species